rnacentral:rRNA from 1 species
GACGAACGCUGGCGGCGUGCUUAACACAUGCAAGUCGAGCGGAGCGGCGAACGGGUGAGUAACGCGUGAGUAACUGCCCCCCUCUCUGGGAUAACAGUUGGAAACGGCCGCUAAUACCGGAUAGUGGGGGAUGACUCGCGUCCUAUCAGAUUGUGUGGGGGGUAGUGGCUUACCACGCCGACGACGGGUAGCCGGCCUGAGAGGGCGACCGGCCCGAUUGGGCUGGGAGACGGCCCGAACUCGUACUGGAGGCAGCAGUGGGGAAUAUUGCACAAUGGGGGAAACCCUGAUGCAGCAACGCGCGUGCGGGAUGACGGCCUUCGGGUUGUAAACCGCUUUCAGCCAUGACGCGGUAGUGGCAGAAGAAGCACCGGCUAACUACGUGCCAGCAGCCGCGGUAAUUC